AUUGAACGCUGGCGGCAGGCCUAACACAUGCAAGUCGAGCGGCAGCGGAAAGUAGCUUGCUACUUUGCCGGCGAGCGGCGGACGGGUGAGUAAUGUCUGGGAAACUGCCUGAUGGAGGGGGAUAACUACUGGAAACGGUAGCUAAUACCGCAUAACGUCGCAAGACCAAAGAGGGGGACCUUCGGGCCUCUUGCCAUCAGAUGUGCCCAGAUGGGAUUAGCUAGUAGGUGGGGUAACGGCUCACCUAGGCGACGAUCCCUAGCUGGUCUGAGAGGAAGACCAGCCACACUGGACCUGAGAAACGGUCCAGAAUCCUACGGGAGGCAGCAGUGGGGAAAAUUGCACAAUGGGCGCAAGCCUGAUGCAGCCAUGCCGCGUGUAUGAAGAAGGCCUUCGGGUUGUAAAGUACUUUCAGCGGGGAGGAAGGCGAUAAGGUUAAUAACCUUGUCGAAUGACGUUACCCGCAGAAGAAGCACCGGCUAACUCCGUGCCAGCCGCCGCCGUAA
rnacentral:rRNA from 1 species